ACAGCCAUAUCACAUUAAAACACUUGUUCUCAUCCAAUCACUGAAGUUAAGCAAUGUUGAACCUGGUCAGUACCUAAAUGGGUGACCAUUUGGGAAUAUCAGGUGCUGUA